CGGCGAUGGCGGCACUCUAGCUACGUUUCACCGGAAGAGUAGAUGUUUACGAUUCUGGCUGUAUUCUGGAGCGUUUCCUCAUGGGCGUCGCAGUUCACACACGUCACGGAUUCCGCCGAAAGAGUCGAUAAUUAAAACUGAACUUUUGGAUCGGAGAUAUGAAGACGCGCGCUGCAUUUUCUUUGGCGGAGAUGCACAGCUCUGACACUAGACAAUAUUAUACACUCGAAGGGAACGCGUUUCGCCGGAAUAAUAAAUAAUUACAAAUGGUAUUCGUCAGUGAACAUUUUCAAACUGGGAAUAAUAUAUCAUAAGCAGAUUGAAAUGUGUGAACGUUUCAGUGUUUCGAAGACUAAGUUUCGUAGCAGAUUUUGAUUCCGUCACGGGGUUUACUCCGUCGUCAAACCCGUUGCCAUUCAUGGAAUUUACUUCUCAACAAGGAAAGACAAACUUCUUUGAAAGAAGCCUAAGUGAACACCAAUUACCUUCAGUUGUACUCUGA